GUACACGCUGUGACUAGCAUAUCAAUAAGCGGAGGAAAAGGUAACUAACAAGGAUUCCCCUAGUAACGGCGAGUGAAGCGGGAAGAGCUCAAAUUUGAAAUCUUAAAGGGUUUCCCUUUACGAAUUGUAGUUUAAAGAAGUGUUUUCUGUCGAGGUUUUGGUAAAAGUUCUUUGGAAUAGGACAUCAUAGAGGGUGAGAAUCCCGUAUUUGACCUUUACUUUCAACUUUGUGAUACACUUUCAAAGAGUCGGAUUGUUUGGGAAUGCAGUCCAAAAUGGGUGGUAAAUUUCAUCUAAAGCUAAAUAUUGGCGAGAGACCGAUAGCGAACAAGUACCGUGAGGGAAAGAUGAAAAGAACUUUGAAAAGAGAGUUAAACAGUACGUGAAAUUGUCAAAAGGGAAGCGUUUGACACCAGUGUUGUUUUUCUGAAAAUCAAUUAUAGAACUGUUUAUGCUAAGCUGUUUAGACUUUAUCAGCUAACUGUUUAGUUUUGAGCUUUUCUUUAAUGCACUUUUCAGUUAACAAGUCAACAUCAAUUUCUUUUGCUGUAAAAAAGCUUGAGGAAGGUGGCUUGAGAUUCGUCUUAAGUGUUUAUAGCCUCUUGCCUAUGCAGUCGGAGAGAUUGAGGUCUGCAGCGUAGAUCCUUCGGGGCUAAAUGCAUUUGUGCUAAGUUAUAGCAUUUUCAUAGACAACUUGUUGACUAUGAUUUGUCUUGUAGCUUACUCGCUUAUGUUAUUUUACCUACGCUUAGGAUGUUGACGCGCGUGUGUGCGUG
rnacentral:rRNA from 1 species